ACUCUGCUGCUCUGAAGAUAACAGAUAUGCUCCCCUCCCCCAUUUAAAGGCUUGGGAAUUUUUGAAAUUCCUCUUCCUGUUUGUUCAUCCUGCAAAGUUCACACCGAAUCUUCCCAGCUGACCAAGCCAUCCUAUGCAGCAGACCUGCUUCCAUGUGGAGCCCACUGGAGCUGUUGUAUCUGCUGAGGACAUGGGGAGAGGAGGCUGAGCAGUUGAAGCUUUGCACUAGCUUUAGGAAUUUCGAUACCUGAGGGCUGAUUGCUAGUGGCAUGCAGGAGAAGGGGCAGAGAAGGGACACACAAUAGCAUCAUGAUAAAAUUGAGGAGCGGAGGCAGUGAGUUAAGUCAGCCUCUGCUUUGUUUGACGCUGCCCAUUUGAGGAAAGCUUAUCCCCGACCUUCUGCCAGAGAGACUGAUGACAAGGACGGUUUGCACUAACCUUGACAUUCACCAGGGUAAAUGGCUUUUUCCACAAGUAGUCAGCAAACAAGGAGAGCCAGUCAAGAGCUAAUGAAUCUGUACCUGAGAGAAACUGAACAACAAUUGUGCUUUUAAAGAAGAAAAGGGGCCACUGCUUCAAAGAUAUUUUGCAUCCCAAUUACAUGUGGUAGUAUGGUUACAGAGACAGACAAAGUCCAUGGGUUUGCUUCAGGGCCUCAUUCUGCUUUCUCCUGAGCUGUGUUUGGUGCAAGAAGCAGUGCUGGGGAUGGCUAAAUGUAAAGAAACACAUUUUUUCAGAGAGAGCCGUGUACAGUAGCCGCACAAGGGGUUCCCACAAUGGUGUACUGAGUUUUCGCAAGAUGCUUCUAAUGGAAAUAGGAUUAUUCUAUCUCAAAGCCCAGCUGUAGAGGUGGAGCUCUGUCUAGCUUCUGCAACAUGCAUCGUGACAUAACAUUUGAAUGAGAAGAGAACAGGAAAGAGGGAACUUGAGGAUAAAUUAGCAUGUAACUUUGUAUGUGGCUAGGAUUGGCUGCUUUUUGCAUUUGCUGAUCAAACAUGCAGGAGUCCCUUGAACUGUCAGAACAUGAAAUGUGGAGCUAGCUCAAAGUAAAGGGCCAAACCUUUCAAAGUGAGGACGGUGGGCACCCCUGGGUGAAGCCUGUCAAGAAUGUGUCGACGGCAGAUAAGUAUAUAACCUUGUGAAAGUCUAAAAACAAAGCUGCAGCAGCAGUGAAGCUCCCAGCGAAAAAGUUGUAUACAGUGAAGAAGAUAAUAUUUCAUCUCCCUCCGGGUCACUUGGUUCUCAGCAGUGUUCUCUGUUUGAGAUUUGAGGAUUUGCAGACAGACAAACUCCACAACCCAGCAAAGGUCAGUCUAAAUAUCAGCCAGAUAAACAGCACCUUAACCAUAAGCACAACUCCGAUUUAUGGUACUCAAUUUAUUCUUUCCUUUACAUGAUAAAGUGAAAUGUGUGCUUCAUCAGAGAGCCAGAGCUGAAGAAUUUAAAGGAACAUAACUUACUGUGGUGCUUUAAAAGGAAUAUAUUUUUCUGUACUUUCCUCUUUAAGUUCUUCCUUACUCACCAUUUUGCUUCUGAGCAUUCUUUUUCUUCUCCUCAAAUAACA